rnacentral:rRNA from 1 species
CCCCUAGAUGUUCUGGGCCGCACGCGCGCUACACUGAACAGUUCAACAAGUCUUAACCUUGGCCGAUAGGUCUGGGUAAUCUUUGAACGCUGUUCGUGAUUGGGAUAGACCUUUGCAAUUAUGGGUCUUCAACGAGGAAUUCCUAGUAAACGCAAGUCAUCAGCUUGCAUUGAUUACGUCCCUGCCCUUUGUACACCCCGCCCGUCGCACCUACCGAUUGAAUGGUCCGGUGAAAUCUCGGGACGGCGGCUUGGUCGCUUGCGUCCGACUGCUGAAACUUGAUUAAACCAUAUCAUUUAGAGGAAGGUGAAGUCGUAACA